UUAGACGAGGUAUCAAUCUUCAAGCAAGGCUCAGACCAAGGCUUUGUUCUCCGUGUAAAACAACAAUUCAAAGACAGCAAAUACUUCGACUGUCGUGGAGCAGAGCGUAUGUUUGGUAUCCACCACUUUGCAGCUAAAGUUUCGUACGACACAACUGGUUUUCUGAAGAAGAAUCGGGACCGACUUAAUCCAGAGUUGAUGGAUGCCAUGCAGUCUAGCGGGGACCAAUUUUUCAGUGAUCUCUUUGCGGUGAAACGAGGACCAACUGGGACAAUUUCUGCAAAUCCCCACACAUUCAGAAAGUCAACACGAGCCC